rnacentral:rRNA from 1 species
AUGUCCUCUCUUUGCUACCUAGGGCUAUAGUAUGUUCCAAGGGUUGGGUGUUCGCCCAUUAAAGCAAAUACGUGACUUGGGUUUAGAACAUCAUGAGAUAGUUC